AUAAAAUUUCCCCAAAGUUUGCUUUCUUGGUGACAUCAGGCCCUUUUGUUUACACGGCAAUCGCUGUCAUAAACGUGCUUGUGAACAGCACUCUUCUCCGCGGUGAGGCCCCGCUGAUCCUCUCCUUGCAUCCUUCUUUCACUGUGCCGGAUAACAGAUUCCACGUUCAGACGGUGCUUCAGUUUGUGCCUCGAAACAUGGAUAUUGGGUUCUGCAACUUCAGUCAGCGCAUUGAGAAGGGACUAACAAUGGCAUUCAUGGAGGUGAGCAAACAACACCAGGAGUUCUACAACUUCACUGUGCAGAUACUGAAUAUAACUCUGAGUAGGCCUGGGGCUGCAUUUCGUCAGGGCCCUGUGAGCAUCAUUUUUGCCAUUCGAGAUAGAUACGGUUUUCUAAAUGGGUCAGAAGUCAGUGAACAGUUAAGAAACUUGUCCAUGGUGGAAUUCAGCUUCUAUCUGGGUUUUCCUGUGCAGCAAAUUGCUGAACGUGAGUACCUGUGGCCAA